GAUGGGGGGACCAUCCUCCAAGGCUAAAUACUCCUAACUGACCGAUAGUGAACCAGUACCGUGAGGGAAAGGCGAAAAGAACCCCUGUGAGGGGAGUGAAAUAGAACCUGAAACCGUAUACGUACAAGCAGUGGGAGCCCCUCACUCAAGUGCCUUGGCGCUGAGUAGGAGUAAGGCUCCUCAAUGUGAUGCGCAGGAUGUGUUAAGCAGGUUGUUCGAUUUUUGAAAGCUGGAGCGCAGUGUACGUAGUUGGUACAUGAGCACCGGAAGUUCACAAAUCGUGCAAGAUGCAACACACAGACCAGCAGGACAUUUGAGGAGGGGUGACUGCGUACCUUUUGUAUAAUGGGUCAGCGACUUAUAUUUAGUAGCAAGGUUAACCGAAUAGGGGAGCCGUAGUGAAAGCGAGGGUUAACUGCCCGUUUAGUUGCUAGGUAUAGACCCGAAACCCGGUGAUCUAG
rnacentral:rRNA from 1 species